AGAAGAAGCAUACAAGAGUGAUAUUGAUUCGGCUCAUUUUUGCAGAAGCUGCAUGAUUAUGAGCCGAAACCAAUACCACACCAUGUGUGUCUACUU
rnacentral:miRNA from 1 species